UACGGGGGGGGCAAGCGUUGUUCGGAAUUACUGGGCGUAAAGGGCUCGUAGGUGGCCAACUACGUCAGACGUGAAAUCCCUCGGCUUAACCGGGGAACUGCAUCUGAUACUGGAUGGCUUGAGAUUGGGAGAGGGAUGCGGAAUUCCAGGUGUAGCGGUGAAAUGCGUAGAUAUCUGGAGGAACACCGGUGGCGAAGGCGGCAUCCUGGACCAACACUGACGCUGAGGAGCGAAAGCCAGGGGAGCAAACGGG
rnacentral:rRNA from 1 species